GAAUUAUUCUCCCUGACUGGUGACUGUGCAGCGUGUUGGUCUCCAUUGGAGACGGGGCUAGAUGUCCCAGGCACGGUUCUGAAGACACAGGGACGCAGUGAUGAUGGCAAAGGCCGAGAGGGAGCUGCUCUAUGCCACGUGCACACACUCUGGCUCCAGGGAAAGGAAGAUUUUGCUAAAUACAGCGUGUCAGAUCUGAGAACAAGGAAGCCGAGACUCAGCACACUCCACGGGCCUGGAGGGCCCAUCCCCUGCACUCGUGUCCUCUCCCCUGCAAGCACGACUCGGCCAUGUACCCAAGAUCCUCGGGACUCACGGCCCCACACCAUGGAAGACAGCAUGUUGUCUCUGUUUCCCAGUGUCAGGCCAUUAGGGUCCUAAUCACUGUGUGACCUUCCCCCACGUAGGUACCUCCCCCGG
rnacentral:lncRNA from 1 species